rnacentral:rRNA from 1 species
AACCUUCCCUACAUGGGGGAUAACUAGCCGAAAGGUUAGCUAAUACCUGAUACGAUCAUCAAGUGGCAUCAUUUGAUGAUGAAAGCAGCAAUGCGCGGAUUGAGGGGGCUGCGGCCCAUUAGCUAGUUGGUGAGGUAACGGCCCACCAAGGCAACGAUGGGUAGCUGGUCUGAGAGGACGACCAGCCACACUGGGACUGAGAUACGGCCCAG